rnacentral:rRNA from 1 species
UACGGUAGGGUGCGAGCGUUGUCCGGAAUUAUUGGGCGUAAAGAGCUCGUAGGCGGUUUGUCACGUCUGCUGUGAAAUCCCGAGGCUCAACCUCGGGCCUGCAGUGGGUACGGGCAGACUGGAGUGCGGUAGGGGAGAAUGGAAUUCCUGGUGUAGCGGUGGAAUGCGCAGAUAUCAGGAGGAACACCGAUGGCGAAGGCAGUUCUCUGGGCCGUAACUGACGCUGAGGAGCGAAAGCGUGGGGAGCGAACAGG